UGUUCCGUAGCUUAGUUGGUUAAAGCGUCGGCCUAGCGAAUACGGAGUCGUGGGUUCCAAUCCCACCAGAACGA
rfam:Aedes albopictus isolate Foshan contig12490, whole genome shotgun sequence.